GACGAACGCUGGCGGCGUGCUUAACACAUGCAAGUCGAACGGGCCUUGUCCCCUUUUUUUUUGGGGGUGGGGUUAGUGGCGAACGGGUGAGUAACACGUGAGUAACCUGCCCCUCACUUCUGGAUAACCGCUUGAAAGGGUGGCUAAUACGGGGUGUUCUGGCCUGCUCGCAUGGGUGGGUUUGGAAAGAUUCGACCGGUUUUGGUUGUUUUGGUGGGGGAUGGGCUCGCGGCCUAUCAGCUUGUUGGGGGGGUGAUGGCCUGCCAAGGCUUUGACGGGUAGCCGGCCUGAGAGGGGGUGCGGUCACACUGGGACUGAGACACGGCCCAGACUCCUACGGGAGGCAGCAGUGGGGAAUAUUGCAAAAGGGGCGCAAGGCUGAUGCAGCGACGCCGCGUGAGGGAUGGAGGCCUUCGGGUUGUGAACCUCUUUCGCCAGUGAAGAAGGUCCUGCUCUUUGUGGUGGGGUUGACGGUAGCUGGGUUAAUGAAGCGCCGGCUAACUACGUG
rnacentral:rRNA from 1 species